rnacentral:rRNA from 1 species
UACGGGGGGGGCAAGCGUUGUUCGGAAUUACUGGGCGUAAAGGGCUCGUAGGUGGCCAACUAAGUCGGACGUGAAAUCCCUCAGCUUAACUGGGGAACUGCGUCCGAUACUGGAUGGCUUGAGUUUGGGAGAGGGAUGCGGAAUUCCAGGUGUAGCGGUGAAAUUCGUAGAUAUCGGGAGGAACACCAGUGGCGAAGGCGGCGACCUGGGCCAAUACUGACGCUGAGGUGCGAAAGCGUGGGGAGCAAACAGG